rnacentral:tRNA from 1 species
GGGAUCGUAGCUCAACUGGUUAGAGCACUCGCCUGUCACGCGAGAGGUCGCGAGUUCGAAUCUCGUCUGUCGCUCCA